AUUGAACGCUGGCGGCAUGCUUUACACAUGCAAGUCGAACGGUAACAGGCCGCAAGGUGCUGACGAGUGACGAACGGGUGAGUAAUGCAUCGGAACGUGCCCAGUCGUGGGGGAUAACGCAGCGAAAGCUGUGCUAAUACCGCAUACGAUCUGUGGAUGAAAGCGGGGGACCGUAAGGCCUCGCGCGAUUGGAGCGGCCGAUGUCAGAUUAGGUAGUUGGUGGUGUAAAGGCUCACCAAGCCGACGAUCUGUAGCUGGUCUGAGAGGACGACCAGCCACACUGGGACUGAGACACGGCCCAGACUCCUACGGGAGGCAGCAGUGGGGAAUUUUGGACAAUGGACGCAAGUCUGAUCCAGCCAUGCCGCGUGCGGGAAGAAGGCCUUCGGGUUGUAAACCGCUUUUGUCAGGGAAGAAACGCUCUGGGUUAAUACCUCGGGGUAAUGACGGUACCUGAAGAAUAAGCACCGGCUAACUACGUGCCAGCAGCCGCCGUAACAC
rnacentral:rRNA from 1 species